GGAAUCUGCCUGGUAGUGGGGGACAACGUUUCGAAAGGAACGCUAAUACCGCAUACGUCCUACGGGAGAAAGCAGGGGACCUUCGGGCCUUGCGCUAUCAGAUGAGCCUAGGUCGGAUUAGCUAGUUGGUGAGGUAAUGGCUCACCAAGGCGACGAUCCGUAACUGGUCUGAGAGGAUGAUCAGUCACACUGGAACUGAGACACGGUCCAGACUCCUACGGGAGGCAGCAGUGGGGAAUAUUGGACAAUGGGCGAAAGCCUGAUCCAGCCAUGCCGCGUGUGUGAAGAAGGUCUUCGGAUUGUAAAGCACUUUAAGUUGGGAGGAAGGGUUGUAGAUUAAUACUCUGCAAUUUUGACGUUACCGACAGAAUAAGCACCGGCUAACUCUGUGCCAGCAGCCGCGGUAAUACAGAGGGUGCAAGCGUUAAUCGGAAUUACUGGGCGUAAAGCGCGCGUAGGUGGUUUGUUAAGUUGGAUGUGAAAGCCCCGGGCUCAACCUGGGAACUGCAUCCAAAACUGGCAAGCUAGAGUACGGUAGAGGGUGGUGGAAUUUCCUGUGUAGCGGUGAAAUGCGUAGAUAUAGGAAGGAACACCAGUGGCGAAGGCGACCACCUGGACUGAUACUGACACUGAGGUGCGAAAGCGUGGGGAGCAAACAGGAUUAGAUACCCUGGUAGUCCACGCCGUAAACGAUGUCAACUAGCCGUUGGAAUCCUUGAGAUUUUAGUGGCGCAGCUAACGCAU
rnacentral:rRNA from 1 species